UUGCGGCGAUGCCGUAAGGCGGAUGUGUGCGGUUUCGAUCUGGUGUGUGGAGUGUUUGGUGGAGUCUCUGCUUUGGGUGAUCGGGCCUUUGGUGUAAUCGGCGAUCGAGCGCCGUGUAUUUGGUGCUGGUUCCCCGGUCCAGUUGUGUCCCUGCGUCCGGGUUUCGGUGCUCGGUAGCCGGUUGCCGCUAUGUUGCUCACCGUUUACUGCGUGCGGCGCGACUUGAGCGAGAUUACCUUCACCCUGCAGGUGAAUGGCGGCAUGCAGCUGGAGACUUUCCGGGCUCUCUGUGAAAUGGAGAGCAAUAUCCCCGCGACCGAGAGCCAGAUAAUCUUUGCGGAGAGGCCAUUGACUGAUGAUCGGCUGACACUGACAGCGUAUGGAUUGAAGGAUGGUGAUGUACUGGUAUUGCGACAGUUGGAAAGACCUCCAAUGCAGUCUAGUCUACCACUCCCAGGUGUAUCAGGACUUCCCAGGAUUGACUUCAGUGGUAUCUCGGUGCCUGGGUCAAUGGGGCACAGAAUCCCUGCGUCUGGAGUAGCUAAUCAGCAGCCACCAAAGCCAACUUCCAGUAGCUCUACUUCUCCUCCCCCUGUUCCAGCUCCACACAGUUUGGAAAAUAAUCCGACUUUACUAAGGGACAUGCUUCUGGCUAAUCCACAUGAGCUAUCGCUAUUGAAGGAACGGAAUCCUCCUUUAGCUGAGGCGCUUCUUAGUGGAGAUCUUGAUAAGUUUACAAGCGUGCUACGAGAACAGCAACUGGAACGAGCUCGGCGAGAACAGGAGAGAAUCCGACUUCUGAAUGCUGAUCCCUUUGACCUGGAGGCACAGGCCAAAAUUGAAGAAGACAUCAGACAGCAGAACAUUGAGGAGAACAUGACAAUUGCAAUGGAAGAAUCGCCAGAGAGCUUUGGUCAGGUGGCAAUGCUCUAUAUUAAUUGCAAGGUUAAUGGCAUGCCAGUCAAAGCCUUUGUAGAUUCAGGAGCACAGAUGACAAUCAUGAGCCAAGCAUGUGCUGAGAGGUGCAACAUCAUGCGCUUGGUUGACAGGCGGUGGGCAGGAAUUGCUAAAGGUGUUGGAACACAAAAAAUCAUUGGCAGAGUUCACUUGGCCCAGGUACAGAUUGAAGGUGAUUUCCUCCCCUGCUCUUUCUCCCUCCUGGAAGACCAGCCAAUGGAUAUGUUGCUUGGACUCGAUAUGCUCAAAAGGCACCAGUGUUCAAUUGACCUGAAACGCAAUGUGCUAGUUAUUGGCACAACAGGAACAGAGACACGCUUUUUAUCUGAAGCAGAGUUGCCAGAAUGUGCCAGGCUGGCAUAUGGUGUUCCACGAGAUGAUCUUCGCCCUGAGGAGCUAGCAGACGCAGAGCUGGCUGAGGCACUACACAGAUCAGCAGAGGAAUCUGGUAAUGUUGCAAAAAGUCUUUCCCUUGAACAAAAUUGGUGAAUAUUGUGGGAUGCAGUGAUUUUAAAAUUGAUGCCUACUAGCCUACAUGAUUAUUUUAAAGGCAGAACGGUCCCUGAUCCAGCCCAAAUUUAUGAAUAGUUAGUCUAUAAUAAAUGUUUCACUUGAUGGAUCCUGGGUGAUGUUGUGGUUUCAUGAUCAUUUAGUAGCAAGAAGGUAAGUAGAAACAUUUUCUUCAGUCUUUUGCACAGCUUACUCAAAAUUUUGUGUUUUUAUUUUUAUUUUUGGCUUUAUAAAGGUUCUGCUGGUGUUUAAUACCAUGGGCACCAGCAGACUCUGUUAUCUCUCAAAGUGACAAACUUGUUUCUGAGAUUAGACAAAAAACAUUAGCAGGCCCUUCAAUUAUGAAGGGGUUCCAAGCUGAGUCCAUCCCUGCUCCCAUUCAAACACUACAUGCAUGACAUGAUGAGAUUUUCCUCAGAAGCAACUUUAAUUGACCCUACUACAGUAGCAGAUGAGAGCAAAUUAACUCAGCGUGUCCUGGAGAUUGGACUUGGCACAUUUUGCUCAAUGUGGCUUAGUGUAUGUCAGACAGUUAAAACCGUAUGGAUCUGCACUACUGAGGGAAGUGAGGGCCUGUUCUCUUCCCUAUUCCAUUUUGUUAUAUUUCAAUAUGUCUGUAACAUCAUGUGUGUACUUAUAAUUAACAAGACAUUAGUAUUUACAUUUUUUUCCUGGUCAGUCCAACCCCCAGGCCAGCUUCAGAAGCUGGGAGUGCUAAUGCAAUGAAUACUGUCUAAUAAUAUCGCUCAUACAUGUGUUGUGAUGUUUGUGUGGAAUGUUAAUCUGUUUGAUGUCCAUGGUGAAUUGUAAUACUAUAUGCAUGUUGCAUGCCUCAAUUGGCUAAUCAAGUUUGCUGUUUGGUUUGUUUUGGUUUUUCUUUUAUCCUAACAGGACGCCGGCAUCACUGAUGCAUGUUGCACUUUUGCUGUCCAUGAAGAUGAUCAUAGCCCAGGAAAAGAAAAUGGCAAAACUACCUCAUUGGAAAGUCCUUCAUUACCAGCACCUCAUCAUCUUCCUCUCCCACUUCCCAUUACAAGAAGUGACCUAUCUCAGGCCCCCAAAACCCAAAGUCAGUUGGACCGUUCACUUUCCGUCCCUGCUAGCCUUCCUUCACAAAACCAGAAGUUGGAACUUACAGAUGUAAACAACCUUCAGCUCACUCCUGAGUGCAUGGAACCUCAGGCAGAAAAGCAGGCACUGUCAGGAUCAUUGGCCAAUAAGUUGACCCCUCUCUUUCCUUAUAAUCUGUCUACUCCUUCUCAGGCAUCAUUAGGGGAGAACCACAUACCACAGGGUGAAAGCAUUCCUUGCAGCUCACAAGACCUUUUGAACUAUCCAACUUCAGAUACCAAUGAUGAGUCUCUGCCAAAACAUGUCUUGCCAAACAAGAGUCCGUAUGAGGUUGGCAUGGAAAAGGGUGACACCACGCGUUGUACAACCAAAGCCUGGCAGGAAAUCAUAAACAAAGAAGGUUUAGAGGAACCACCGACAAAAAAAAUUGGAGAGAUUUCUUCAGCUGUACAAUCAAAUAGUGAUCCUGUGUCUGAUCUGGGUUUGGGUAACAGACUAAGCCAACAAGCCUCACCUGAAUUGGCUUUUGCUGCUGGUUCUAACAUAAAUGAAAUGCAGCAAGGCACUGAAACUGGAAAGGGGAUUGAUGAUCCUGACAACCUCAUUAAGCCAUUAGAUAUGGACCUUGAAAUAGCUGAAAAAGAUCCAUGUAGCUGUCAAAAGAAAUUUGAGACUAAUGAAAGACCACCAUCUGAAUCUUCAACUGGAAACAUUGAAAUCUGCGAUGCUGAAAUUGUAAACUCUACUCAGCAGCUGGUAGAGGAAAUUAGAUAUUCAGCAUCAAAAAAGACGGAAAAAAGUAGUCAAAAGGAGGGAAAAGUCACUAUUUCAGAUCAGAAGUUGGAGGAUGGACAUUUAAGUUCAUGCUCCUCCAUUGCUCAGGAGAAUAUGCCUGCUGAGUUAUCAAGUGGCUGUGUGAGGGAAAAGUCUGAAUUUGCUCUUGUCACUGAAAAAGAGCAUGGAGAAGUACAUCCUUUGACUGAGAUUAAACAGUCUUCUUUUGAGCAGGAUCAGACAACAGACUCUGAUUCACAUUUUUCCCCUGUGGCUGCUUUAUUUGAACUACAUCAAAAGUUAGUCGUCUCAUGUCAGGAAGCUUCUUUGAAGAUAUCCGUCAGCUCGGAGGACAACCAUCGGUCAGACAUGACAAAUCAGGAAGAAGGUUUUCAACUAAUGGAGGUGUCUGAAGAAUGUUCAGAUAAUAAUGCUUUGAGCAGAACGUGUGUCAAUGCAGAGGUGGAUACUGUUGCUGUGGAAGAGCAAAACGAACUUUUGUUAACUGCUAAUUCCAAAAUUUCUCCAAAAAGAGACAACAGUGUGGAAAGCUUCAAUGAAUUUCCAGAAAAAUCCACUUCAGAUAUGGCACAAGUUAAACCUAAUGAGAUUUUUGUGCAAGCAUCAAAAGAUGAGGCUGCAGCUUUUAUUACUGUGUCUAAGGAUCAAACAAAGGAAAUGGAAGUUUCCCAUACUGAGGAAUCUUUGCAGACCCAAGAAUUAUCAGUACACCCGCAUGAUUCUGCAGCAGCUGAAAGCAGCCAGAACACUCAAAGUAGUGAGAUACAUUUGCAAGAGAUGACAAAUAAUGUAGUCUGUUCUUCGGAGGACCCAGAGGUUUUAGCUACACCCAUGACAGGGGAAGGGACCAUGGAAGCCAAUAUGAAUCAGCCUAAUAGACAUUCUUUGGGUAGUCCUCUAGAAGUGCUCCCCCUAGCUUUCCCGGCUGCUAAUGUUGCACGAAUAAGACGAUCAGGAUUCACUCAGCAAGAAGCAUUGGAAGCCCUUGAACGUUUUAAUGGCAAUACAGACCUGGCACUUCUGGUUCUCCUCGCAAGAAACAUUGUAGUUCCUAUUUGAAGCUGUCCAGUAAGAGUCUGUAGGACAGUAAUAAGUUGGUACUAUUUUGACAUUUGGUCUACAAUGGAUACUGUGGUGGGUAAAAAGGAAACAUGUUUCAGUCGGAAUCAUUAUUUUUGAAUAGUGUUGGGAAAGACCUGUUUCAGCUGUUGGUAUCAUAGGUGGCAUCUGUCACUGGCAGACCAGUUUUGAGGUCAAGUUGUAGCAACAUUAGUAUUUUAUUUCAGUGCCAUUCUUGAUACCACUUCACUGAAAUAUUCACUAGUAGCCUAUAAGCCAACAAACCUAGUCAAUUCAAGUAUUGGCCUUUGUGCAGUUUAAACUGCCUAUAAUUUUUAACUGCAUAUUCUCCAAGCACAGGAAGAAUUAGUACGAAGAAGUUUGACAUGGCAAGGAGAAGAAAAGACGAAGGUAGCAGGUUUGAAUCCUUGGAAGAUGAUCUACGUGUACGUGGGUAUUCAUGGUGGAAUCAUGUUAGAUUUAAAAUUUUUGCAAGGUCAGUAGUUAUCGCCAUUGGAUUUGGGGGUUACUUGAAUGUUUGACUUAACCAUCAGGAGAAGUGGAAAGUCUCUAUCAUGUUUCCUCCAUAAGGAUAAAAGUUCACGUUCUCACCUUCUGAGUACACAAAUUUUUAGAAUUCCUUUACUGUUUUAUAGCCUUUGUUAAAUCUGACACAGCAACACCACCUCUGCUGGACGUAUGUCACAUUUGAGGCACAUUCAGUAUUCAGUUGGUUUUAAAAAAUGUUUUAUGAAGGUGUUUGUGCUAUUUUUUUUCUUAAAUGACAGUAGUGAUGUUGCUGUAAUCUUCAAUGGCUGCUUAGUGCAACCUCUGGUCUUUGUUUUUUCUUUUUUAAAACCAAAUAAUUAAAAAAAAAGUUAUUGCCAAACAAAA